AGUAAUAUGUCUGAUAAAUAGUGAUAAAUUGUAAAUUUAUAUAUAGAAUAAUAAUUCUUAUUACUA
rnacentral:tRNA from 1 species